rnacentral:rRNA from 1 species
UACAGAGGUCCCAAGCGUUGUUCGGAUUCACUGGGCGUAAAGGGUGCGUAGGUGGUGAGGUAAGUCGGAUGUGAAAGCUCCGAGCUCAACUCGGAAAUGGCAUUGGAAACUACCUUGCUCGAGGGUUUGAGGGGGGACUGGAAUACUUGGUGUAGCAGUGAAAUGCGUAGAUAUCGGGAGGAACACCAGUGGCGAAGGCGGCUCUCUGGACCGGUUCUGACGCUCAGGCGCGAAAGCGUGGGGAGCGAUCCGG